rnacentral:ncRNA from 1 species
AAGAGCCGGAUGAGGGAAAUCUUCAAGUCCGGUUCUGUGAGGGGGCUCAUAGUAUAACCCUGGGGCUAUUACCUCAAU